rnacentral:rRNA from 1 species
ACGAACGCUGGCGGCGUGCCUAAUACAUGCAAGUUGAGCGCUGAAGGUUGGUACUUGUACCAACUGGAUGAGCAGCGAACGGGUGAGUAACGCGUGGGGAAUCUGCCUUUGAGCGGGGGACAACAUUUGGAAACGAAUGCUAAUACCGCAUAAAAACUUUAAACACAAGUUUUAAGUUUGAAAGAUGCAAUUGCACCACUCAAAGAUGAUCCCGCGUUGUAUUAGCUAGUUGGUGAGGUAAAGGCUCACCAAGGCGAUGAUACAUAGCCGACCUGAGAGGGUGAUCGGCCACAUUGGGACUGAGACACGGCCCAAACUCCUACGGGAGGCAGCAGUAGGGAAUCUUCGGCAAUGGACGAAAGUCUGACCGAGCAACGCCGCGUGAGUGAAGAAGGUUUUCGGAUCGUAAAACUCUGUUGGUGGAGAAGAACGUUGGUGAGAGUGGAAAGCUCAUCAAGUGACGGUAACUACCCAGAAAGGGACGGCUAACUACGU